ACGAACUGUAGGUCAGUGAGCGCCAGGCUCAUCACGAAACAGUCGAUGGAGGAGUAGUGGUGACCUCGGCGACGGAAGUGAAGCAAGAAGAGUGCCAGGAGGUUACCCACGAGUCCCAAGACACACACCACCAGGAUCAGAAGCUGUAAAGUGAGAGCCAGGUGCCGGCAAGCUAUGCUACAAAAAUAUGUAUUGGCGUUAAGCGUGAAGGGGCCGGGUCUACCACAUCGGACAGGACCCCAGGUGGAGACAGUGGAAAGAAGCCUCAGAGACAGCGCAGCACAUCACACAGCAAGGUGUAAAAUGCUGGCACGCAAGGCAUACAUGGAGCGGCAUAACCAGAUCCACAGAAGGUUCCUUGGAGAGGAUCUGGAGCCAGCAGUUGAGGGACAGGUUCAAGGCAGCCAGGUUGGACCCGGCUCCGCUGGGGUUGACCAGUUUGGAGAGUUCACGCUCAUCUUCCUCUCCCCCGCAUGCGC